rnacentral:rRNA from 1 species
AAACAGAGGGAAGCGAGCCUGCGAGGGGGAGCGAAUCCCAAAAAUAACGUCCCAGUUCGGAUUGUAGUCUGCAACCCGACUACAUGAAGCUGGAAUCGCUAGUAAUCGCGGAUCAGAAUGCCGCGGUGAAUACGUUCCCGGGUCUUGUACACACCGCCCGUCACACCAUGGGAGUCGGAAAUGCCCGAAGUCUGUGACCCAACCUUAGGGAGGGAGCAGCCGAAGGCAGGUCGGAUGACUGGGGUGAAGUCGUAACAAGGUACC